rfam:Candidatus Nomurabacteria bacterium RIFCSPHIGHO2_02_FTLL_41_18 rifcsphigho2_02_scaffold_558, whole genome shotgun sequence.
GGGACUGAAAGGCAUAGACAGCGGGCCUUCGGCUCUUGACGCAUGUCGAGCAUGAACAUAAUCUCGUUAAAAUUUGUUCAAAUGUCUAAUUGCAAAAUUAGCUUCCAAGGUGAAGGCGGCGGUCUCCCCAUACUUCGGUAUGAAUGACUUCGCUUUCGCUUCAGUGAGCGCUUCGGCGUAAGCUGACGUCUCUCUCAUAGACUUCCGAUAUAUGAGUUGAGGCGCAAUAUUAUCGGGAUUAGGAAGAGGACCGCCUCGGCUAACUUCCGAAAACACAGAGGCUCGGUUAAAAAAUAUUUGGCACGCUUAAAAAUUCUUUAACCUAAAACAAAAAGCUUGCUAAACAUGUAGAAAUCAAGGCAGAAACCUUCUGCACGGGGGCUCAUUUCCCCCCAGUUCCACAA